rnacentral:rRNA from 1 species
AAUGAACGCUGGCGGCGCGCCUAAUACAUGCAAGUCGAGCGAGAAGACGUAGCAAUACGUUUGUAAAGCGGCGAACGGGUGAGGAAUACAUGGGUAACCUACCCUCGAGUGGGGAAUAACUAGCCGAAAGGUUAGCUAAUACCGCGUACGCUCCUUGGACUUCGGUUCAGGGAGGAAAGCGAUACCGUGGGUAUCGCGCUCUUGGUUGGGCUCAUGUCCUAUCAGCUUGUUGGUGAGGUAACGGCUCACCAAGGCUUCGACGGGUAGCUGGUCUGAGAGGACGAUCAGCCACACUGGCACUGCGACACGGGCCAGACUCCUACGGGAGGCAGCAGUAAGGAAUAUUGACGCAAUGGGCGAAAGCCUGACGCAGCGACGCCGCGUGGGGGA